UACAGAGGUCUCAAGCGUUGUCCGGAAUUAUUGGGCGUAAAGAGCUCGUAGGCGGUGUGUCACGUCGGCCGUGAAAACCUGCAGCUUAACUGUGGGCGUGCGGUCGAUACGGGCAUCACUGGAGUUCGGCAGGGGAGACUGGAAUUCCUGGUGUAGCGGUGAAAUGCGCAGAUAUCAGGAGGAACACCGGUGGCGAAGGCGGGUCUCUGGGCCGAUACUGACGUUGAGGAGCGAAAGCGUGGGGAGCAAACAGG
rnacentral:rRNA from 1 species